CAAGUCGGACGGAGAUAUUCGCUGAUGAAGUACUUCGGUAAUGAAUCUUGGCAUAUCUUAGUGGCGGACGGGUGAGUAACGCGUGAGCAACCUGCCUUUCAGAGGGGGAUAACGUUUGGAAACGAACGCUAAUACCGCAUGACAUUAUCUUAUCGCAUGGUAGGAUAAUCAAAGGAGCAAUCCGCUGAAAGAUGGGCUCGCGUCCGAUUAGGUAGUUGGUGGGGUAACGGCCCACCAAGCCGACGAUCGGUAGCCGGACUGAGAGGUUGGACGGCCACAUUGGGACUGAGACACGGCCCAGACUCCUACGGGAGGCAGCAGUAAGGGAUAUUGGUCAAUGGGGGAAACCCUGAACCAGCAACGCCGCGUGAGGGAAGACGGUUUUCGGAUUGUAAACCUCUGUCCUCUGUGAAGAUGAUGACGGUAGCAGAGGAGGAAGCUCCGGCUAACUACGUGCCAGCAGCCGCGGUAAUACGUAGGGAGCGAGCGUUGUCCGGAUUUACUGGGUGUAAAGGGUGCGUAGGCGGCUUGGCAAGUCAGUAGUGAAAUCCAUGGGCUUAACCCAUGAACUGCUAUUGAAACUGUCGAGCUUGAGUGAAGUAGAGGUAGGCGGAAUUCCCGGUGUAGCGGUGAAAUGCGUAGAGAUCGGGAGGAACACCAGUGGCGAAGGCGGCCUACUGGGCUUUAACUGACGCUGAGGCACGAAAGCGUGGGUAGCAAACAGGAUUAGAUACCCUGGUAGUCCACGCCGUAAACGAUGAUUACUAGGUGUGGGUGGACUGACCCCAUCCGUGCCGGAGU
rnacentral:rRNA from 1 species